rnacentral:rRNA from 1 species
UACGUAGGGUGCGAGCGUUAAUCGGAAUUACUGGGCGUAAAGCGUGCGCAGGCGGUUUUGUAAGUCAGAUGUGAAAUCCCCGAGCUCAACUUGGGAACUGCGUUUGAAACUACAAGACUAGGAUAUGUCAGAGGGGGGUAGAAUUCCACGUGUAGCAGUGAAAUGCGUAGAGAUGUGGAGGAAUAUCAAUGGCGAAGGCAGCCCCCUGGGAUAAUAUUGACGCUCAUGCACGAAAGCGUGGGGAGCAAACAGG